rnacentral:rRNA from 1 species
GAUGAACGCUGGCGGCGUGCUUAACACAUGCAAGUCGAACGAAGCACUUUAUUUGAUUUCCUUCGGGACUGAUUAUUUUGUGACUGAGUGGCGGACGGGUGAGUAACGCGUGGGUAACCUGCCUUGUACAGGGGGAUAACAGUUGGAAACGGCUGCUAAUACCGCAUAAGCGCACAGCAUCGCAUGAUGCAGUGUGAAAAACUCCGGUGGUAUAAGAUGGACCCGCGUUGGAUUAGCUAGUUGGUGAGGUAACGGCCCACCAAGGCGACGAUCCAUAGCCGACCUGAGAGGGUGACCGGCCACAUUGGGAGUGGGACACGGCCCAAACUCCUACGGGAGGCAGCAGUGGGGAAUAUUGCACAAUGGGCGAAAGCCUGAUGCAGCGACGCCGCGUGAGCGAAGAAGUAUUUCGGUAUGUAAAGCUCUAUCAGCAGGGAAGAUAAUGACGGUACCUGACUAAGAAGCACCGGCUAAAUACGUG